rnacentral:lncRNA from 1 species
UAUGGCUUAGUCCCAUGACCAAAGCUGCAGUUCUGCUAUAUGCAAUGGGUAAAGAGUUUGGAAAGCGAGCAGGGAAAAUACAUUUAACACCAAAACGCUGCCUGUUCAAUGUGGGAAAUCUUAUGACCCUCAGAUUUACCAUUUACUGCUGGGAGCUGAGCUGUGACAUAACCUCAUCCAGCAGCAAGGCCUGAGGGAACCCACCCUGCAGGCGCUCACUUGAGGACUACAUAUCCCAGAAUGCAUUGCUCUCGCUCCGGCCCUGUGCUGCGGGCGGAACUACAGCUCCCAUCAGUGCUCCACACCGCGCUGCACGCUGGGAGUUGUAGUCCCGCCGGACGUUGGUCCGGAGCGGCACCUCCCUCCCACUGCCGCCCGGCCUCGGCCCCCCGCCCCGCUCCGCGCUCCUCCCCGCGCCGCCGGCGGUUGUACCUCGGUAGACGGAAGCCGAGGAGGGAACGAGUGAGUCGGGGAGGUCGGAGCAGCGCGAUGGGGGAUUCCAAAGUGAAGGUGGCGGUGCGUGUCCGCCCUAUGAACCGGCGAGAUGAUGAGGAAGCAAGCAUGAAAAGGGAACUGCAGCCAGGGAGUGUGAGGAGGUGAAGAAGAAGGCAGGGAUCCAAGAAACGUGUAAGGUUUUGUUUUCCCACAUUCUCACAGAAGUAUGCCAAUAAUUCCUUGGGGGGGAGAGGGAUCGAGUGAAGGCGGUUUAAUAGCUACAGCCAGUGAUCUGAAACAAAAUAACGCUUCUAGUUUGUUUUGGUAAAUAGGAAGGAUAAAAGUUAAUGUUGCUGCGUCAGGUAUUUCCGUGCCUUUUGAAAUGGAGGUGUCCAGAUGUGGAGUCUUCGCUACAGGAGUGACAUAGACCUGUUGGAGCACAUCCAGAGGAGGGCCACAGAAAUGAUCCCAGGGAUGGAACAGCUCUCCUAUGAGGACAGGCUGAGAGAGCUGGGGCUGUGCAGCCUGGAGAAGAGAAGGCUGUGAGGUGACCUGAGAGCAGCCUGUCAGUGUCUAUAGGGGAUUUAUAAGGAAGGGGCAGACUCUUCAGCACUGUCUGCUGUGACAGGACAAGGGAAAAUAGAUUUAAACAAAAAAUGGAGAGAUUAAUACUGGAUAUAAGGAAAGAGUUGCUUACAAUUAGGGUGGUGAGGCACUGGCACAGGUUGCCCAGAGAGGUGGUGGUGCCCCAUCCCUGCAGACAGCCAAGGUCAGGCUGGAUGGGCUCUGAGCACUGAUGGAGCUGUGGGUGUCCCUGUUCAGUGCAGGGAGUGGGACCUGAUGGCCCUUAGGGGUCCCUUCCAACUCAGUUCUAUGAUGCUGUGAAAUAUCAGACUAAGUUCAUCAGAACUUUUAAUCCUCACAAGUGAAGUAAAGGAGAUGCAAUUAAGCAGGUGGGUUACGUCAGUUGAGGGUAUUUUGACCAAAAAUCU